GUAUGGAAGGCAAGUACCGUAGGUAUUUGUGCUGCGUGCUCUGGAAGACCGGGAGGAAGCGGCUCCGGGCCAGCUGCCGCGGCGCAGCGCGUGCUUGCUGCGGAUCCGGGACGCCGGCCCGCGGGCCUAAGGGUCCUGACUGCGCAGCUCUGGCUGUGGAAUCGAGUCACAUCGCGACACCGACCGCUCCCGGCGAUUCGAGAGGUGCAGAAGCGCGCCAAGCACUUCCGGGGGAGGAAAAAGCGCUGCUGCGAUUGGCGGUCAGAGCCGUGACUCCAGCCUUUGUGAAAUGCACCAAAGCCCCGAAGUCCGAAACCCGAGGAAGAGGAUCAUGAGGACCUUCUGGAUUAAUCGAAUUGCAGGUGCUACCCAGGAACACGGCCUGACGUAUCCGGCGUACAUUGGCAAUUUAAUUAAGUGACAGGUAGAGUUCAACGAGGAACGUCCUAGCGGAUCUGGGCGUCUACGAACCAAAGACUUUUAAAUCGUUGGCUGCCUUGGCCGAUAGGAAGCGACAGGAAGGAUUUGCUGCGGCCUUGGGGGAUGGAAAGGAGCAGCCCGAAGGCGUUUUUUCCAGAUUGGUGCAUUACCACUGAGGACCACUGCUGUAUGGAUUAGGAAAAGACAGAGUAAUUUGCAGUUUGUUUGAUUUCUAUUUGUGUUUAUUUACAUUCCAGCAACAGACAUGAAGAAAGGACCCUUCUCUAUGGGACAGAGCCUCACAGAUGACUUCCGUGUUUCGUGUGAAUGAAACUCAAACAUUGUUCAAAAAAA